UUCCGUAGGUGAACCUGCGGAAGGAUCAUUCGCACAAAGAAUAUCUUUUACACCCGCCACGCACCACACAGUGCUUUCUGUUUUUAAUCAGGAUUUAUAUCCAACUCGUCGAUGUUGCGAUUCCAUUGCAAUGUAUGCGAUGUUAUCUAUCUCUUGCGACGACGAAUGCCUUGGCUCGAGGAUCGUUGAAGGACGCAGCGAACUGUGCUAAACAUCUCGAAUUGCAGAUUUCCGAGAAAGAAAAGGAUUCUGAACGCACUUUGCGAAUUGACCUCGUGUCAGUUCACUUGAUUGGCGGUGACCGCAAUAUGCAGUCGCUCGAACUCCGAAGUUUGAGUGGUGUGCACGUGUUGUUGCAGAUUGUUGCACCGACAUGUUCGUAGAAUUCGACGCGCCUCUCGUUUUCGAGCAGCAUUAUGACUUCGUGUUAUGAUGUUCGAAAGCAGGGACCGUUUCUUGUUUGGUUUUCCAAACGAUUCUUUCGCACGCUCACGACCAGUCAAGGGAUUACCCGCUGAAUUUAAGCAUAUCAA
rnacentral:rRNA from 1 species